CCUAGCGGCGGACGGGUGAGUAAUGCUUAGGAAUCUGCCUAUUAGUGGGGGACAACAUUCCGAAAGGAAUGCUAAUACCGCAUACGUCCUACGGGAGAAAGCAGGGGACCUUCGGGCCUUGCGCUAAUAGAUGAGCCUAAGUCGGAUUAGCUAGUUGGUGGGGUAAAGGCCUACCAAGGCGACGAUCUGUAGCGGGUCUGAGAGGAUGAUCCGCCACACUGGGACUGAGACACGGCCCAGACUCCUACGGGAGGCAGCAGUGGGGAAUAUUGGACAAUGGGGGGAACCCUGAUCCAGCCAUGCCGCGUGUGUGAAGAAGGCCUUUUGGUUGUAAAGCACUUUAAGCGAGGAGGAGGCUACUAGUAUUAAUACUACUGGAUAGUGGACGUUACUCGCAGAAUAAGCACCGGCUAACUCUGUGCCAGCAGCCGCGGUAAUACAGAGGGUGCGAGCGUUAAUCGGAUUUACUGGGCGUAAAGCGUGCGUAGGCGGCUGAUUAAGUCGGAUGUGAAAUCCCUGAGCUUAACUUAGGAAUUGCAUUCGAUACUGGUCAGCUAGAGUAUGGGAGAGGAUGGUAGAAUUCCAGGUGUAGCGGUGAAAUGCGUAGAGAUCUGGAGGAAUACCGAUGGCGAAGGCAGCCAUCUGGCCUAAUACUGACGCUGAGGUACGAAAGCAUGGGGAGCAAACAGGAUUAGAUACCCUGGUAGUCC
rnacentral:rRNA from 1 species